rnacentral:rRNA from 1 species
UGAGUAACGAGUGGGUAACCUGCCCUUAAGUCUGGGAUACCAUUUGGAAACAGAUGCUAAUACCGGAUAAAAGCUACUUUCGCAUGAAAGAAGUUUAAAAGGCGGCGUAAGCUGUCGCUAAAGGAUGGACCUGCGAUGCAUUAGCUAGUUGGUAAGGUAACGGCUUACCAAGGCGAUGAUGCAUAGCCGAGUUGAGAGACUGAUCGGCCACAUUGGGACUGAGACACGGCCCAAACUCCUACGGGAGGCAGCAGC